CCCUUAGAUGUUCUGGGCCGCACGCGCGCUACACUGACGAAUGCAACGAGCUUAUAACUUUGGCCGAAAGGUCUGGGUAAUCUCCAAAUUUCGUCGUGAUGGGGAUAGAUUAUUGCAAUUAUUAAUCUUCAACGAGGAAUGCCUAGUAAGCGCAAGUCAUCAGCUUGCGUUGAUUACGUCCCUGCCCUUUGUACACACCGCCCGUCGCUCCUACCGAUUGAAUGGUCCGGUGAAGCGUUCGGACCGUGGCCUUUGGACGGUUCGCCGUCUGUUGGCUGCGGGAAGUUCGUUAAACCUUAUCAUUUAGAGGAAGGAGAAGUCGUAACA
rnacentral:rRNA from 1 species